UUUCCCCAAAUUACCACCUCCGUUUAAAGGUCUCAUAGUAUGAAAAUUUCACUUUAUGAGGUUUUUUAACAUUAAUGUGAGUUCCCCCUAGCCUCCCUAUGGUCCCCCGGUGGCUAGAAAUGGUAAUAGAUGUAAACUGAGCCCUGG